GGGGGGGGGGGGGGGGGGGCGUGGCGCGGGGGGGGCGGGGGGGGGGGGAGUGAGGGCGGGGGCGUGCGGGUGGGGAGGGGCGGACGGGUGAGGGGUACAUCGGAAUCUAGUUUUGCGUGGGGGGGAGCGGGGGGGGACUGAGGCUAAUACGUCAUACGACCUGCGGGUGAAGGCAGGGGAUCUGCGGACUUGGCGCGAUUUAAGGCGCCGCUGUCGGAUUAGCUAGUUGGCGGGGUCAAGGCCAACCAAGGCGACGAUCCGUAGCUGCUCUGAGAGGAUGAUCAGCCACACUUGAACUGAGACACGGUGCAGACUCCUACGGGAGGCAGCAGUGGGGAAUAUUGGACAAUGGGCGCAAGCCUGAUCCAGCCAUACCGCGUGGGUGAAGAAGGCCUUCGGGUUGUAAAGCCCUUUUGUUGGGAAAGAAAAGCAGCGGGUUAAUACCCCGCUGUUCUGACGGUACCCAAAGAAUAAGCACCGGCUAACUUCGUG
rnacentral:rRNA from 1 species